rnacentral:sRNA from 1 species
CUGCUGCGGGCAGAUCCAGUGGAUGUGCGUGUCGAUCCCGCCGGCGGUGACAAUUUUCCCCUCGGCGGCGAUCACUUCUGUCGCUGCGCCAAUCGGGAUCGUGACCCCGUGCUGUAUAUCCGGGUUACCGGCUUUACCCACGGCAAAGAUCCGUCCGUUUUUUACGCCAAUAUCGGCUUUAACGAUCCCCCAGUGAUCGAUAAUCAACGCGUUGGUCAGCACCAGAUCCACGCAGCCGUCGGAUGUCAUCUGCCCCUGGCCCAUACCGUCGCG